UACGUAGGGUGCGAGCGUUAAUCGGAAUUACUGGGCGUAAAGCGUGCGCAGGCGGCUAUUUAAGCUUGCUGUGAAAACCCCGGGCUUAACCUGGGAACUGCAGUGAGGACUGGAUGGCUGGAGUGUGGCAGAGGGGGGUGGAAUUCCACGUGUAGCAGUGAAAUGCGUAGAGAUGUGGAGGAACACCGAUGGCGAAGGCAGCCCCCUGGGCUAACACUGACGCUCAGGCACGAAAGCGUGGGGAGCAAACAGG
rnacentral:rRNA from 1 species